rnacentral:misc_RNA from 1 species
GUCUCGAAGAACAUCUCCCACGCACGCACCAGCGUCGCCCGUCGGGUCAGCAGUUUUGAGAACGCCGCGAGAUCGAGCGCGCGCGCGACCGAUUCCUGGUCACGCAGAACGGCCAGCGCGCCGGGAUCGCCCUCGCGCUCGGCCAUGUCCCGCAGCGCGUCAUAGCCGUCCGACAGCCACAGCUUCAUCUGCAGGUCCGCAG